rnacentral:lncRNA from 1 species
GCACUUCCUAAUCCGUCAAAACAGCAACUACUUGAGAUUGUUUAAAGGCUUUUGAUAACUCAGGUAACAUUCCUCUUCUUUGAACAGUUGAGAUCAGAAAGCUACAACUUCUUUGUGAAUGUAUCUUCUCUCUAGUUUACAAGACAUGGAUGAUAAGUUCAAAAAAAAACUUCAUUAGUGGUUAAGAGAUACUUAUGUUUCUCAUGGCUUCAUUAGUGACUAAGG